AGCAGCCGCGGUAAUUCCAGCUCCAAUAGCGUAUAUUAAAGUUGUUGCAGUUAAAAAGCUCGUAGUUGAACUUCGGGAUCAAGGGAUCGGUCAUGCUUUUGUAUGUACUGGUCUUAUUGGUUCUCACCUUCUAAAGAACCAUAAUGUCAUUCAUUUGAUGUUAUGGGGAAUUAGGACUGUUACCUUGAAAAAAUUAGAGUGUUUAAAGCAGGCUUACGCUUGAAUACAUUAGCAUGGAAUAAUGAAAUAGGACAUCCGAUUCUAUUUUGUUGGUUUCUAGGAUCGAUGUAAUGAUUAAUAGGGAUAGUUGGGGGCAUUAGUAUUCAAUUGUCAGAGGUGAAAUUCUUGGAUUUAUUGAAGACUAACUACUGCGAAAGCAUUUGCCAAGGAUGUUUUCAUUAAUCAAGAACGAAAGUUAGGGGAUCGAAGACGAUCAGAUACCGUCGUAGUCUUAACCAUAAACUAUGCCGACUAGGGAUCGGAUGAUGUUAAUUUUUUAAUGACUCAUUCGG
rnacentral:rRNA from 1 species